GUUUUUUAAUUCUAAAUUUUGAUCUAGGGAGCCCUCAGACAUAAGGAGAAACCAAUAUGUUGAAUGGGGUAUUACAUACAGAAGGACCAAGACCUUAUUUUCUCCUACUUAAGAUGGAAUCUUGUUAAGAUGAAAGGACAGCUUUUUAAAAGGAGAAGGUCAUAAGACAAUUUGAGGAAGGCAUUGGAAGAGGAAGAGGGGCAAUGUCUCCUUUGUUUUAUUGUUGGUAUAUAAACUUAAAAUCUCAGUUCUUUUUAUGGCACUUGUGGAGCCACUUCCUCUCCCCACCAAAAAAUGCCCAGUACCCUGAAUCCGAUCAAAUUACUCUCCUAAAGUAUAAGGCUUAGUUUCUGUUUGCUGCUUCGCUGAGACAGUUCCCACAAAUCGAGAGUGUUAAUCAGACUUUUGUGUUUUCUUUUUUGGAUUGCUGUUGUUUGUUUUCAUUUAUCAUUUGUCUUUGCCUAAGCCAGGUUCAUCAAGAAUUAACAGCCAUCAGGCUGCUGAUGUGCUGACAGCAGACCCACUUAGAGUCCUGUGUUUGUAAUUCCAUGCAUUUGUUAUUUUACCUGUUUUGUCCCUGCCCCUUCUAGUCCUGUGCCUCCUGAUUGCUGAGUGUUCACCUGGACCUUCUGACUACCUUCCCUGUGCUAUUCCAUCAGCCUACAGACCUGGUACCUGGAUUUUUGCCCGAGAUGAUUCCUACCACCUUACUACUGAAGAAGACACCCAUUCCAGUGGACCACUGUGACCCAGGAGGCAUUCAGCCAUCAUGAUGUGGCCUUUACCUCCACUCCUGUCUUGUUCUACCCAGAUUCAGCACAGCCCUUUAUAGUGAAGUCAGAGUCCUCAAGCCAAAUAGCUAAAGCUGUUUUAUCACAACAAAGGCCUAGUUUGUUCCAUGAGUGUGCAUUUCAUUUCUUCAGUUAAAGCCUUCAGAGACACACAAUAAAUUUGGACCAGGGGAUUUUUUAGUUAUUAAUGCUCUCUGAAGAAAGGCAACAUCUUUUUGAGAGCAGCAUUGGACCACACCCCACAAUCUCAAAUGAUUGAAAUUCAUGAACAUCUAGGAUCCCGUGAAGGUCACUGGACCCUGUUUUUUCUACUUCAAAUCCUGUAGUAGCCUACUGAAUGAGAAAACAUAUUCUGACCCAUUGGGAUCAAAUCAAAGGCACAGUGAACUCCUCAUAGCAUCUUCUUUGGAAUUACUCAGGAACCAGAACUUUUUACACAAAUGUAAGAAAUUCUACCAAGGAGUCCCCUUACCUAACAGCAUCUCACAAGGCUGCACCAGAUUCCAGAAGAGGCUUCUCUUGAUACAUCAAGGUAGAACCUCUAUGCAUUUUGUGACCGACUUAUUCUUAGAUCAUUGGUUUUCCAAAGGCUUUGUGGCCAUGAAGCCCUUUGAGUGAAAACUGUGCAGAAGCCCAGAGUAAAAGUGAAGCUGCUCUGGAUGAAGUAGUGAAGCAAGAGUAGGGGCCUGAAUCCUGCUACAACUAUCUUCCUUUACCACCGUGGUGACACCUAAGGGGACUUCCUUACAACACCUUGAACUCUUCCGAACACAGUUUGAAAACCACUGCCCCAGACAGCAAUAUGUUUGACCUGAAUGGCAUUCCAAUCUUUUCUGUACCUCCACUCAGCACAGUUCAUGUUCAGUAGAUGCUGAACAUUCUUAGAAAUACUGUGUGUGAACUUAGAAAAGUGCAAGAAGACAGGCAUGUCUUUGACCCCAGAAAUGAUCAUGGGCUGAAGAUGGUGUCAAGUGAACCUAGAUUAACAGCCCUCCACUCCAGAUGGAUAUCCAGUGAUUCCUAGAAUGGGAUAUAGCCAGAGAACAAUUCUAUGCACCCUACACUGACAGACUCCCUUAAGCAACACCAGAUGCUCUACUGGUACUUGAAGUACAUGACUUUGAAGUCUUGACCCUCCAUGAAUACCUGAAUUAUCAGCAAGCGGGUUUUGAAGCUGGUGCCUCAUUGAGGCCAUAUUAGAGCAACUUGUACAUUUGACCUCUUGUUAUCAGCCAUGGUACUCUACUUCGUGUGCAAGAGAUAACUAUGAAAGCCAAAUUCAAAUACUGGCAACAUUUCCUAAAGGGGCUCAAUAUCUAUCAUUCAUCUUCUUUUCCAAACUACACAUCACUGUAUGACUCAACCAGUAGCAGUUAUAUUGCCCCUUGGUUUUUAUUCAGUUUAACUACUGUUUCCAAGAUAAAUGAGCUAAUAAGCUUU
rnacentral:antisense_RNA from 1 species